rnacentral:rRNA from 1 species
UACGUAGGGGGCAAGCGUUGUCCGGAUUUAUUGGGCGUAAAGAGCGUGUAGGCGGCCAGGUAGGUCUGCUGUGAAAACUCGAGGCUUAACCUCGAGAUGUCGGCGGAAACCAUCUAGCUAGAGUCCGGAAGAGGAGAAUGGAAUUCCCGGUGUAGCGGUGAAAUGCGCAGAUAUCGGGAAGAACACCCGUGGCGAAGGCGGUUCUCUGGGACGGUACUGACGCUGAGACGCGAAAGCGUGGGGAGCGAACAGG